GGCGGGGUAGCACACGGUGUGCACCGGUUCAUCAUUGAAAUUGAAGAUCCACGGUCUGAAUAAAUCCGCUGGAGAGCCCGUUCGACUCGGGUCCCCGCCA